rnacentral:rRNA from 1 species
AAGUCGAGCGAACAGACGAGGAGCUUGCUCCUCUGACGUUAGCGGCGGACGGGUGAGUAACACGUGGAUAACCUACCUAUAAGACUGGGAUAACUUCGGGAAACCGGAGCUAAUACCGGAUAAUAUAUUGAACCGCAUGGUUCAAUAGUGAAAGACGGUUUUGCUGUCACUUAUAGAUGGAUCCGCGCCGCAUUAGCUAGUUGGUAAGGUAACGGCUUACCAAGGCAACGAUGCGUAGCCGACCUGAGAGGGUGAUCGGCCACACUGGAACUGAGACACGGUCCAGACUCCUACGGGAGGCAGCAGUAGGGAAUCUUCCGCAAUGGGCGAAAGCCUGACGGAGCAACGCCGCGUGAGUGAUGAAGGUCUUCGGAUCGUAAAACUCUGUUAUUAGGGAAGAACAAAUGUGUAAGUAACUAUGCACGUCUUGACGGUACCUAAUCAGAAAGCCACGGCUAACUACGUGCCAGCAGCCGCGGUAAUACGUAGGUGGCAAGCGUUAUCCGGAAUUAUUGGGCGUAAAGCGCGCGUAGGCGGUUUUUUAAGUCUGAUGUGAAAGCCCACGGCUCAACCGUGGAGGGUCAUUGGAAACUGGAAAACUUGAGUGCAGAAGAGGAAAGUGGAAUUCCAUGUGUAGCGGUGAAAUGCGCAGAGAUAUGGAGGAACACCAGUGGCGAAGGCGACUUUCGGUCUGUAACUGACGCUG